rnacentral:rRNA from 1 species
AUGAACGCUAGCGACAGGCCUAACACAUGCAAGUCGAGGGCAGCACAAGGAGCAAUCUGAGGUGGCGACCGGCGCACGGGUGAGUAACACGUAUGCAACCUGCCUGUAAGCGGGGAAUAACCCGUUGAAAGACGGACUAAUACCGCAUAAUACUAAAUUACUGCAUGGUAAUUUAUUUAAACAUUUAUGGCUUACAGAUGGGCAUGCGCAUGAUUAGCUAGUUGGAGAGGUAACGGCUCCCCAAGGCAACGAUCAUUAGGGGUUCUGAGAGGAAGGUCCCCCACACUGGUACUGAGACACGGACCAGACUCCUACGGGAGGCAGCAGUGAGGAAUAUUGGUCAAUGGACGAGAGUCUGAACCAGCCAAGUCGCGUGCAGGAAGAAUGUCCUUAAUGGAUUGUAAACUGCUUUUGCAGGGGAAUAAAGUGCAUCACGUGUGAUGUUUUGUAUGUACUCUGCGAAUAAGGAUCGGCUAACUCCGUGCCAGCAGCCGC